rnacentral:rRNA from 1 species
GUGAGGAAUAUUGGUCAAUGGGCGAGAGCCUGAACCAGCCAAGUCGCGUGAAGGAAGAAGGAUCUAUGGUUCGUAAACUUCUUUUGCAGGGGAAUAAAGUGCGGGACGUGUCCUGUUUUGUAUGUACCCUGAGAAUAAGGAUCGGCUAACUCCGUGCCAGCAGCCGCGGUAAUACGGAGGAUCCGAGCGUUAUCCGGAUGUAUUGGGUUUAAAGGGUGCGUAGGUGGUUUGAUAAGUCAGCGGUGAAAGUUUGCAGCUUAACUGUAAAAAUGCCGUUGAAACUGUCGGACUUGAGUGUAAAUGAGGUAGGCGGAAUGCGUGGUGUAGCGGUGAAAUGCAUAGAUAUCACGCAGAACUCCGAUUGCGAAGGCAGCUUACUAAGCUACAACUGACACUGAAGCACGAAAGCGUGGGGAUCAAACAGGAUUAGAUACCCGGGUAGUCC